rnacentral:lncRNA from 1 species
AGCUCCAACUGGGUACUGGGCAGGAAAACCACAUUCCUGGGGUGCUUCCAGGGACCAAUCCAGCAAGGAUUUGGUUCAAAGGACCAGAAGAAGUGCAAAGAGAAAAGCAAAGAUGAUCCAAAACUGCAGAAGACACUGACAAAUACAGAAGCAACCCUUACUGUACAACUCAGAAGCAUUUAUUGGUGCAACAGAAAACUUUAUUUUCUGAGCAAAGAGAAGAGGAGGCACAGGCUGGCAGCAAUUUAGCCAGCAAGAAAGCAGAUAAGUCAGGAAUGUUUAGCUGUAUAUUUGGUACAUUACUGUGACAUCUGUGCCUUCUGUUAUAGGCAGCAUUGCAGAUCGUGCAAGUACCACAGUAAAAGCAGGUUCACAUUCUCAGAUGCAGAUAAAGCAACACCAAUAGCUGGAGGAAGUCAUAUGCCUAGAGUUGAUCAAUACUGUUUGGGAUCUAACCCCAGCAAAAUAUUCAUCUUCACUAAUGAAACCCAUCACGUUUCCCACUGGAAGGAAAGCCAGCAGCAACACAAAUGAAACCUUUUUUCCAGACUACUAAUGCCAC